GCUUUAAAGAGUGGCAUGGUGGUGCACUCGGGGAGCAGAGGCAGGAGGACUCUUGAGCCCUGGAGUCCAAGGCUGCAGUGUGUUAUGUCCAUCGGGUGUCUGCACUAAAUUGAGCAUCAAUAUGGUGACUUUCCAGGAGGGAGUGGGGGACUACCAAGUUGCCCAAGGAGGGGUGAACCAGCCAGUUGGAAAUGGAGCAUCUCAAAACGUCAGUGCUGAUCAGUAGUGAGAUUGCACCUGAGAACAGCCACUGUGCUCCAGCCUCGGCCACACAGAGAGACCCCCAUU
rnacentral:SRP_RNA from 1 species